UACGGGGGGGCAGGCGUUGUUCGGAAUUACUGGGCGUAAAGGGCUCGUAGGCGGCCAACUAAGUCAGACGUGAAAUCCCUCGGCUUAACCGGGGAACUGCGUCUGAUACUGGAUGGCUUGAGAUUGGGAGAGGGAUGCGGAAUUCCAGGUGUAGCGGUGAAAUGCGUAGAUAUCUGGAGGAACACCGGUGGCGAAGGCGGCAUCCUGGACCAACACUGACGCUGAGUGAGCGAAAGCCAGGGGAGCAAACGGG
rnacentral:rRNA from 1 species